AAAAAGUGGAGACCAGAAACCACAAUUCAAAAAACGGGGCGAAACCGAAAAGCCUGAUGAGUAGGACAGUU
rfam:Aquiflexum balticum DSM 16537 genome assembly, chromosome: I